rnacentral:lncRNA from 1 species
ACUUAGAAUUCCAUAAAAGCUUAAUGUACUUACGGUAGCAGUAAAGAAAAUGCCCCCAAAGGGAGUCGCACAAUUAGGAGGUGUGGCCUUCUUGGAGUAGGUUUGAUCUUGUUGGAGGAAGUGUGUUGCUAUGGAGGUGGGCUUUGAGAUCUCAUUUAUGCUCAGGUCACACCCACUGAGAAAGAUCACUAGUCAAGAUGUAAGAACUCUCAGCUCUUUCUCUAACACCAUGCCUGCCUGCAUGCUGCCAUGCUUCCUACCAUGAUGAUAAUGGACUAAACUUCUGAACUCCAAAGGACCGCUCCAGCCAAAGGGCCACACCAGCUAUUCACAGAGAUGGGGAUGAGGCGACAUCCCCAAUGCAAGAUCUGGCUCUCCAUGCUGUAGACAGAGGUACUUCAUUAGAGAUCUUUUGCUGCUCCUUGGGAAAUCUGAAGCUUCUUAGAAAGUGAGAAAUUUCAUGAAAAGAGGAAAGAAGACACCACAUAGACCAGACAAGUCCUCAGUGGGAGGCAACA